rnacentral:tRNA from 1 species
GCGAGAGUGGCGGAAUCGGCAGACGCGCGGGCCUUAGGAGCCCGUGGGGGUGACCCCGUGGGGGUUCGAGUCCCCCCUUUCGCA